rnacentral:rRNA from 1 species
GCAAGUCGAGCGGUAACAGAGAGUAGCUUGCUACUUUGCUGACGAGCGGCGGACGGGUGAGUAAUGCUUGGGAAUCUACCGAGUAGUGGGGGAUAGCCAUUGGAAACGAUGAUUAAUACCGCAUAUAUCCUACGGGGGAAAGCAGGGGACCUUCGGGCCUUGCGCUAUUCGAUGAGCCUGAGUGAGAUUAGCUAGUUGGUGGGGUAAAGGCCUACCAAGGCGACGAUCUCUAGCUGGUCUGAGAGGAUGAUC